rnacentral:rRNA from 1 species
UACAGAGGGGGCAAGCGUUGUUCGGAAUUACUGGGCGUAAAGGGCGCGUAGGCGGCCCGCUAAGUCGAACGUGAAAUCCCUGGGCUCAACCCAGGAACUGCGUCCGAUACUGGCAGGCUUGAAUCCGGGAGAGGGAUGUGGAAUUCCAGGUGUAGCGGUGAAAUGCGUAGAUAUCUGGAGGAACACCGGUGGCGAAGGCGGCAUCCUGGACCGGUAUUGACGCUGAUGAGCGAAAGCUAGGGGAGCAAACGGG